GCCGGGCAUGGUGGUGCACGCCUGUAGUCCCAGCUACUUGGGAGGCUGAGGCAGGAGAAUCGCUUGACACUGGGAGGCAGAGGUUGCAGUGAGCCGAUUGCGCCACUGCACUCUAGCCUGGUGACAGAGCGAGACUCUGUCUCAAAAACAACAACAACAACAACAACAACAACAAAAAACUAUAUCUCAGUUUUUUGUUUUGUUUUGUUUUGUUUUUUGAGAUGGAGUCUCACUCUGUCACCCAGGCUGGAGUGCAGUGGUGCAAACUCGGCUCACUGCAACUUCUGCCUCCUGGGGUCAAGCGAUUCUCCUGCCUCAG
rnacentral:SRP_RNA from 2 species